rnacentral:lncRNA from 1 species
AGACAUUGUUCUAGCAGAGGAAGAGGCCCUCAGUGGUGAGGAGAAAGAAGAAAGUCCAGGAAGUGCCAGUGAAUUUUUCUUUACCACAUGGGCCACUCUUUGGCAGGAGUUUGUUAAGGUCCUCUCACCUGUGCUGUAUGCAGAGGACACUACACACACAAGCACAUACAGAGUCUUCUCUUCCACUGGGGAAGCUUUGGUACAUCUGGUGGUCUGACUUCAGAGCAACCAAGAAGAG